GUUUGUGUGCGAGAACGCUGUCACCAGUGGUGGGGGACUGACUGGGUGGACACUGGUGCACGGAGGGGGUGGUGUUUGUUUGGUAGGUGGGGUAACAAUCUGCGCGAACCUGGCCCUUUAAAUUACCUCCACAAUCACUGUAGACGAGACAAGCAAAGUUGCCUCCAGGGCCCUGAGCCAGCUUUAGUCCCCAGCCUCUCCAUCAUCCAGGAACAGUUUAGCUGACUUCCUCCAUUUCACUGCAACAACAACAAAAACACUUCUCACAGUUACAUAUCAGAUUGGAAUUUGGAUCAUCCUAGCAGCCUUUCCACGUAGUCCUUUGCAUGUAAACAGACCUGGUAGCUCUAUUGUGGUACAGAAGUCAGUUACACUCUUUUCACUGAGGGUGGCUUAUUUGGGAAAGCAGGAGUGAGGUUUGACACCUGUGCAGCUGCCCUUCUCAGCAGGAGUCCAGUGGGGACCAGAUCAGAAAUCC
ensembl:lncRNA